rnacentral:rRNA from 1 species
CAAGCGUUGUUCGGAAUUACUGGGCGUAAAGGGCGCGUAGGCGGCCUGCUAAGUCGAACGUGAAAUCCCUGGGCUCAACCCAGGAACUGCGUCCGAUACUGGUUGGCUUGAAUUCGGGAGAGGGAUGUGGAAUUCCAGGUGUAGCGGUGAAAUGCGUAGAUAUCUGGAGGAACACCGGUGGCGAAGGCGGCAUCCUGGACCGAUAUUGACGCUGAUGCGCGAAAGCCAGGGGAGCAAACGGG